rnacentral:rRNA from 1 species
UGGCACCUACGGGGGGCAGCAGUGGGGAAUAUUGCACAAUGGGGGAAACCCUGAUGCAGCGACGCCGCGUGAGUGAAGAAGUAUUUCGGUACGUAAAGCUCUAUCAGCAGGGAAGAAAUAAAGUCCUUUGGACUUUGGACGGUACCUGACUAAGAAGCCCCGGCUAACUACGUGCCAGCAGCCGCGGUAAUACGUAGGGGGCAAGCGUUAUCCGGAUUUACUGGGUGUAAAGGGUGCGUAGGUGGCAGGGCAAGUCAGAUGUGAAAGCCCGGGGCUCAACCCCGGUACUGCAUUUGAACCUGUCC